GAUGAAGAACGUAGCGAAAUGCGAUAAGUUAUGUGAAUUGCAGAAUUCAGUGAAUCAUCGAAUCUUUGAACGCACAUUGCGCCCCCUGGUAUUCCGGGGGGCAUGCCUGUUCGAGCGUCAUUUCACCACUCAAGCCUCGCUUGGUAUUGGGCAACGCGGUCCGCCGCGUGCCUCAAAUCGACCGGCUGGGUCUUCUGUCCCCUAAGCGUUGUGGAAACUAUUCGCUAAAGGGUGCUCGGGAGGCUACGCCGUAAAACAAACCCAUUUCUAAGGUUGACCUCGGAUCAGGUAGGGAUACCCGCUGAACUUAAGCAUAUCAAUAAGCGGAGGA
rnacentral:misc_RNA from 1 species